GAUGAACGCUGGCGGCGUGCCUAAUACAUGCAAGUCGAGCGAACGGACGAGAAACUUGCUUCUCUGAUAUUAGCGGCGGACGGGUGAGUAACACGUGGAUAACCUACCUAUAAGACUGGGAUAACUUCGAGAAACCGGAGCUAAUACCGGAUAAUAUUUUGAACCGCAUGGUUCAAAAGUGAAAGACGGUCUUGCUGUCACUUAUAGAUGGAUCCGCGCUGCAUUAGCUAGUUGGUAAGGUAACGGCUUACCAAGGCAACGAUGCAUAGCCGACCUGAGAGGGUGAUCGGCCACACUGGAACUGAGACACGGUCCAGACGCCUACGGGAGGCAGCAGUAGGGAAUCGUCCGCAAUGGGCGGAAGCCUGACGGAGCAACGCCGCGUGAGUGAUGAAGGUCUUCGGAUCGUAAAACUCUGUUAUUAGGGAAGAACAUAUGUGUAAGUAACUGUGCACAUCUUGACGGUACCUAAUCAGAAAGCCACGGCUAACUACGUG
rnacentral:rRNA from 1 species